CUCAAAAAUGUACAGGUAAGAUAAUGCAAAAAAUAAGAUAAUGAAAGAACAAGAAAAUAAAGAUAUCUUAUGAUUCAUCCUUCAAUCUACGUCUAUGUCCAUCCAGGUAUGAAAUAAUUAACAGGUAUUCCAGGUGAUGCUUUUUACAGGUGAAUGGUUAAGGUAUGUCCCAGGUAGCAGUAGUGGCAAUAGUAACUCCACCCCCCUCCUCUUUAAUUAGUUUUACCCACAGGUACAAAAAAGUAUAGAAGAAUGAACGAGGUGAGGUGAGGUGGGUCCCAGGAGGGCGGUGAUGCAUCUUUUUUUUGCAAUUAGCAUUUCCCAAGGUGACACGAACAGGUAAGGUGGUUAUAUGUAACCUCACCUGGGGAAAAACCACACUGGUAACCCUUCCUUCCCUUCCCUCGGUUCCCAUCCACUCCCCUUCCCCCCCGACACAAAACAGGUAUACACAAACACACACACAUACGGGAGGGUACACUAACUUGACCCCCCUCCUUCUGUCCCUCACACAAACAAACACAGGGGUACAUCAAGGAUCCCAGGUGUAAAAGGUAAACACAAACACAUAUACAAACACACAUACAUGAGGGUACAUGAACCUACCCAUCUAUACCAGACACAAACAAACAAACAAACACACAAACAAGGUACACCAAAGAAUCCAAAAAGGUGUUAGGUAAGGUAAGGUAAAACAAGGUAAUGUAACCCAUCCCUUUUUCCUUGACACAAACAUACACACAAACAUAUCUGCCACAUCAAGGACUCCAGGUGUAAGGUAAGGUAAGGUAAGAUAAUGUAAGGUAAAACAAGGUAGCUCAUCCCUAUUUCCUUCCCACAAAUACAAACACACACAAACACAUACCUGGCACAUCAAGGACUCCAGGUGUAAGUUAGGUUAGGUUAGGUUAGGUUAGGUUAGAUAAGGUAAGGUAAGGUAGGGUAGAGGUAAAACAAGGUAAACCCAUCCCAAUUUCCCUGCCACAAACAUACACACAUACAAACAUACCUGGCGCAUCAAGGUCUCCAGGUGUAAGGUAAGAAAAGUAAGGUAAGAUAGGUAGAGGUAAGACAAGUGUUUACCUGACGCAGCACAGUCCGCCUCUCACUUACCUUUUCAACAGCCUCUCCCUUGAAGACUGACCACUCACUUCUUCAGGAUCCAACCCCUCUCCCCUCUUCUUCUUAUCUCCCUUUUUUCAUUCCCCUUUCUCCUCCUCCUCCUCCUCUUCCUCCUCUCACUUCUUUUCACUCGCUCUCACCGUUUCGCUAUAGUCACAACGUUAACCGCCUCUUUUAUUUUCUCUUUCUCGCUCUCUCGCUCUAUCUAGCCGUUGGUCACCUGGUGUUAAUUAUCCUCCUCCAGCGUCUCUCACCUCCACCUGCACCACCUCUCAUCACCGCCAAUCUCAUCACCACUUCGCGACACUUCGAUUCACUACAAGAACGGCGACUGGAGGUGAACUUUUUUUUAUAUAUAUUAGAAACAAAUGAUAAACGUUACACACGAUGGAAACGUUCUCAAGCCGAAACGUUUUUUUUUUUUUUUUUUUUUGGCAUUAUUUUUUUUCACAA